ACAUCACUCCUGCUCCUCUCCCUAUGCCAAGUCUCUAAUCAUGUAAGAUGUUUUACACCUGCUCCCACUGCAGGUGUCCUGGCAGUGAGGGGAAGAGGGCAGCUUUGGACUCCUACGGCCUGGGUGAGUUUUCUUGGGUCAGGAUCACCUGUGCUAUAGCUAAAGUGGCCUGGAUCUUAAACAAUCAGAAUCUCUUUUCCCUUGACUUGCCCACUUGUGAUAUUUUCUAAAUUAUUUUAAGAAAUGGCAUUACCCCCCGCCAAGGGAUCCUAAUUGAUAGGUCCUAAAAAUCUAAAAUAUUAGACUUUU